rnacentral:rRNA from 1 species
GAUGAACGCUGGCGGCGUGCCUAAUACAUGCAAGUCGAGCGAACAGACGAGGCGUUUUCUCCUCCGUCGUUAGCGGCGGACGGGUGAGUAAUACGUGGAUAACCUACCUAUAAGACUGGGAUAACUUCGGGGAACCUGAGCUAAUAUCCGUUCAAAUAUUGAACCGCAUGGUUCAAUAGUCAAAGACGGUUUUGCUGUCACUUAUGGAUGUAUCCCGGCCGCAUGAGCUAGUUGGUAAGGUAACGGCUUACCAAGGCAACGAUGGGUAGCCGACCUGGGAGGGUGUUCGCCCCCCCGGGACCUGAGCCAGGGUCCAAACUCCUACGGGAGGCAGCAGUAGGGAAUUUUGCGCAAUGGGCGAAAGCUUUACCGAGCAACCCCGCGUGGGUGAUGAAGCUCUUCGGAUCGUAAAACUCUUUUAUUAGGGAAGAACAACUGUGUAAAUAACUCUGCACGUCUUGACGGUACCUAAUGAGAAAGCACCGGCUAACUACGUG